UGCUGGGCAAAAGACCCAUUUAAUCAAUAGGGAACAAGACACAGGCUGAUUCUAGAACACAAAGGGAUGUCAAAAGAGUGAAAUGGAAGUAGCCCUUUAAUCUCUCUCAUGGUAAUUUCAUUCAAGGCGAAAGACACUUUUGCUUUUUAGAGCAAUGCUACCUGCAAAAUUUUCAGAUGGAGGUAUGCUUUUAAAGUUCAUAUGAUCCCUUUAAGCACUGGCAAUACUUAAGAGUACAUGAGAGAGCCUGGCAAGAGCUUGUUCCCAUUGCAUUAUCUAGGGACGAUAAAUCAAGCAUAGAAAGGAAACCUAAUUUAUCCAAGAUGUUAUUUUCAAAGGCUUCUCUGCCUUGAUAAAUAAUAUUUUCCUUUGAGAAGAGCAAUAGGGAAGGAAGUACAAAGAGCAGCUACUGGUCAUGUGUUAAGUUGCUGGAGGGUGCUCAGACAGCUGAGCCACAGACACACUGAAAGCUAUUAAAAGGUAGCUAAGCUUGAUAUUUUUGUGUGUCUGAAAGCCAGCUUUUCCUUCCCCUUCUCCCAUAGAGCUUGCACAGUGAUAUGUAAGUGAACUCAACCUCCUUUUAGUGCUCUCUCCAAGGGGAAUGCAUAUUUUCUCUGUUUCCUAUCCUAGAAAGGUUAAUGUUGAAGUUUUAGAGAAAAGCUCUAAGUUGAAGGGGUUUUUCUUCAAUCUUUAACUCUGAGGUUUCUCAGAAUCCUGGAGGUGGUGUAUUUGGCUUUCAGGAACCUGGUACAGGAUCAGAAAGACUGCAUUCAUCGAGCUUACAGUUCAGUCAUGGUAUUGGCAAAAUAAGACCAGUUGUGCCCUCCUGCACAUGGCAUAAACCCUACAGCUACAUGCUUCAACUCUGUCGUGAUUAUUUAUGACUUGAAUCAAGUUUUGGUGGUCUGUAGAAUGAGCUCCAGCAUCACCACUUAAGAACAGCUCUUGGCUUGUGACCUCUUAGGAAUCCCUGUGGCCCAAAAUCAGUAACCAAGAUGUAAAUCAUGAGUUUUGCCAGCCAUAAUAGACAAUAUACAAUGGGAAAAAAUACAAGAAGAGAAGAGGGGAAAGCAUGUUGGAACUGGAAGCAAUUAUUGGUCUUACCAUGAAGAGCUCUAAUAAACUGGCUGGUUCCUAGUUUACAGAAAGUAUGGCACAAGGCACUCAGAAGUCUUUUUUGUAGCUGUUAGUUACUUCUUCCACUCUGCAUCUUCUCAAUAUGAUCAUCCAUUCACAUUUUUCUUGGGAAAUGAGUACAAAAUUUAUGUACGAAUCUUUGAAAAGUUAUGGAUACAAACUGUGCCUCUUUCCCUGGCAUAAUAGUCACUCUGACAUUUGAGUAACAUGAAAUCUUUUGGGACAGGAGUGUUUGUUUCAGUCCCAUCAAAGGCUGGCCUCCAAGAAAUCAAAAACUAAAAAUAUGAAAUGCCAAUGCAGUCAUCUCCUUCAUCCCAAACCAAAGGAGAUGUAAGGUAGCAGUCUAAACUGGAGAUGCAGAAAUUCCAUGACACCCAGUGCAUGGGUGGGACAGUGGGACUGCCUGCAGCGGCUGCUUACACACCAUUUCGGGGCACAGAGUGGUAUAAAAGACAUGAAGGCAGUGAGUGCCCACAAUUGACCAUCAAGGCAAUGAGGGAACAGCCUUGAAAGAUGGUGGGAAUUCAUUCUGGGUUCCCUUGUGAUAAAAUUGGCUUCACUGGCUCGUGGCCAUGGCAGGGAGCCCAGUGGAGAGUGGGCAGGGCAGAGCUGCAUGCACUGCAGGUUUUCAACGAUGGCAACUUGAGUGGGUCAACUGGUGAAUAAGGGCUUUAAAAAUUAGUCUAGUGUUUUUCUAAUGUUUGAUGAUGCACAAUGUGUGCUAGAGAUGUGCAGUGGCGUCGGGAGCAAAGCUGAGAGGCUUUGUAGCCUCUCCCUGGGAUGCAGAGGAAAUGUCAAGCUGUCCUUAGCUUGGAAGCGAAAAGGUUACACUGAAUUAGGAAAUCAGCACUGACUGAAUGACUUUUUCUCCCCCUUAAGUCCAACAAAAUGUCAAGAGCCUGCAGCACAAGGAGGGAGGCCUGGGGGAGCCUGGCUCCUGGGGGUGCCAGAGGUGGGGCCGGGACCAUGGGAGAGCCAAAAGGACCCUGGGGGCAGGGGUCUGCAGGGGCACAGGGCUGGGACGCAGACCCCCUCAUGCCCGGUGGCCCCCAGCUGCAGCAGAGCGAGGACCUGAGCACACGCACCCCUGUGUCGUGAGCCGGAGCUGCCUGCCCUCCUGGGAGGAGCAGGUGGAAACCCUGUGCUUUGAUGUCUGUCUCCAGCUGAUAAAUAGGGUAGCGUAACUGAAGGAAACAGUUAGUCAGAGAGGAAAGUCAAAGGAAAUAAUGACUCAUGACUUGGCAGCUGAGAAAGUGCCAUCCGAGCCCUCUGCUUUCCCGUAGAACCGGUCCUAGCGGUGCAAAUGUGAGCUCCUUUUCCCUGGUUCCUCCUGCCUCCCUGGGAGCUGCAGUCCAAUGUGAGUGGCACCACCAGAAAGCUGGGGGGGCUCUUCUUCUCUGAGAAGGAUAUGGUUGGGUGAAACAUAGGCACGAUGCCACCCUGAAACACGUUCCACCCUCCAAGCCUACUGCAGACUGUUAUUGUUUGCCAUGCUCUAUGGUGAUUUCAGCUUUAAUAGGAUUUCUAGACAGACAGAAAUUAAUACCAGCCUCUGGUUACCUGGACAGGGUGAUCUGGUGUUGCCUUUGUGAAACUGCCUGAUCUGGGACUAGCACCAGACUAUAUUCCAAUGUAAAGUCUAACACAAUAAUUUCUCCUGGACGUAAUAAUACACCACAGAGCUUGUUGAUGUCAGAAAACAGACACAGGAUAAACUGUCCCAAAGAUGGAUUUUGAAGUGCACCCACCUCCAAAACCAUACCUCACGGUAGCAGCAGCAGCAUUCUGCGAAGAGUCACAAACUGCACCAAAGCGGAUUGGUAUCACAAGUGUCACUGCUCUUUAACACAGAUAGUCUUCAGUGCCAAAAAUUUUUAACUUCUGAAAAAGAUAUACUUAGUGUAACUAUAAAUUUUUUUGACUUUUUCUAUAAAUGAGGUGAAUUAAGUGUAAUUGGAAGCAUCUGCUCCUAUUUUGGCACCCGAUAUAGCGUGGUAUUCUGCAUCUCCUGGAAGACACUCUCCUUCUUCAACUCCCACUAGAUCCAGCUAAAAAUAGUCACUCUAAAUCACAUUCUCUCAGGCAAAAGUGCUCUUCAGCUCUCAGGAUUUGCCCCUCCAUGCUAAACAAUGGCUACCAGCUUUCUUGCCCUGGCAGGAUCAGGGGGAGGCUCCACGGGCCCCAGGAUGGUGCCGUGGAGAAGCCCCAUUUUGUCCGAGCAGCACGUGCUGUCACCAGUGCCUCACCUGGGCAGUGGUUGUGGUCAAUGAUUGGCAAAGCCAUGACAUCAGGGAAAGCCGUGUGGCCCUGGCGCGAGGCAGUGAUGUGUUCUGACAACACUCCAAACUCCUCCAGUGCCACAAAUAUUGCUGUGACGGCAGCCAGGGCAGUGACAGACUCAGGGCCUGAAACAGCUUCCCCAAGUGCCUGGAGGAACAUCUCCUCCUGCUUAACAAAGGCCAGCUUGGUCUGGUUUGAUCUUCGAGCCAUCUCUGCUGCAUGGAGUAGCCACCUCUCCCACCAUGAACAUCAGCCUGGGGCUGCGUCCUCUCCACCACCGGCUGGGGAGCUCCUCCAGCCCUGUGCAACAGCAGUCGUGUUCCUCACGUAGGAAAUGUCACUAUGACUGAGACAAGGCUGAGAACAUAUGGAGAAAUAAAGAUGAAUAACCUGGUAAGUAUGUUGCAGUUACAUUAGACCCAUGAUUGGAAACUCAGAGAAUUCAAUUAAACCUAAAAACUAAAAAGAACUUUGAAGCUGUGAAGAAAGUCAGGGUAUUUACUCAGAUUUCUUUGUCUUAUCCCACACUAAUGCCAGUGGUCCUUUCUUUCAGAAAGUGCUCCAGGGUAUGAAACAGUUAAACCACAAAAUACCCAAGCCAGGAAAUGGCAACCUCUGAAGGUCUAAAAGACCAUGGUAGCCCAAAUAUUAAGGGCAUUUUUUCUUCCGAGUGGGAAUGAAACAGCUCUAACGUUGUGUCUUUCUUGCUCUGCUAAGGCUGUCCUUCUCCGGCAUGAGGGCUGGGGCCAGGCCCCAGGUGGGGUGUGGGAGCCUGGCUGAGGGGGCCGAGGGGGCUGA